CCGGAUCAAAAAUUGAUUUUGAAGCAGCAUACAUCAUUUGGACUUAUUGAUGGAUUCUUUCAUUUUCUGCUAGAUUUAUUCAGCAUAAUUUUGACAAAUUUACCCUGUUUCCUAAAGAUUAUAACACAGUAAGUUCCAUGUAGGAAGUUCAAAUACCAAUGGAUUUAUCUGCUGCAGAGACAACAACGCUUCUGUUGUCACAGGCUCAAAAUUACUGCGUGUAAGAUCCCUUGUGUUAUUACUAAAUCUGCUACCUUUAUGUUGUACCAGAGAUUUUCUCUAAUAGCAGACAAUUACAAUAAUUUGCAAUAAAUCAUCAGUGUAACACCUAGAAGCAUAUUGCCGCCCCAGUUUUAGAUGUUCAGGGGUGGACUUUUUUCUUCUGUGGUUGAACGAUUCACCACUUGUCUGUACUCUGUACCUGUUGAUUCAGGAAUAAUGUUUGUAGCAUUUCAGCAAUAGUUCUUUCUUGUGAUGCAUUAGGUUCUAAUUUCUUGAUUCUAUGUGCGUGGAUAAUUAAUCAAUAUCUUUGUGAGGACGAUCAUGGUAGAUUAGUUAAAUAAGUCGAUAGUACCUCCAGAUAUCCUAGUUAAUAGCCUAUAUAUGACCAUGUUAUCAAAGAACAUUUCUUCAAGUAUCAGUUAAUAUGCGAGCACUAUUAUCUAUAACAUCAUGAUUGUUUUCAAGAGACAAAAACCCCUCCUUAUUAGUGUUAUGAAUCCUUACUGAUUUCUGUCACACGCUUCUGUAGGACUAUAGGAAUAAGCCCACAUGCAUCUAUCUGUCCUAAUAUUUUUUUAUUGUAUAAUCCUUAGUUUCAUCUUCCCUCACAGGUUCUGAAGUUGACUACGUGCUUCAGCCAACAUGUGUUUGUUUGUUCUUUCUCUUAACAGGUAUAUCUACUAGACUUGUGCAUACUGCGAUUAGGAGAUAUAAAAAUCAACACUUAUAUAUUAAGAGGCCCUAAAAAGAAUUUGAAGCCUCUGGAAAAUUUAAAUAUUGAACUAUGUAUGUAUAAUCAAGAUUAUUGGUUACCUAUUAUCAUUCAGUUGGUUCCAGAAUUCAUAUCAUUGUUAAUAUAUAUAAUGUUUGGAUAAUCAUUACUGUAGUAAAUACAUGCUGAUGGUUCAAAAUGAAUAGCCCCAUCCAGUUGUUCAAACAUCUCAGGGUGCGUUUGGGAACCAAGUAUUUCUAAAGUUUUUUAGAAAUACUGUGGUUUCUGAGAAAACUUCAGUAUUAAAUACUUUGAGGUGUUUGGACAGAAAAAAUACUACAGCCUAACAAACCAUUUUUUCUCGAAUAUGCACGAGUGUGCAUAUCAUAUAUUAAAGAAGGAAAGGCAUAGAAAGCCUCAACCAGUCAUUUACAAAGGUGAGAACGUUACACCAUGCACAACUCCACCUCACGCACGAUCGCGCACGCUAACUAGACUACUACUCCCCACUCGUCCACCUAGCUAAGCCUGCAAACACAGCCUCUACAUUACCUCAGAAGAGCCCUGCCAUCGACCAGCUCCUACCCUCGUUCACAAUUCUCUUGAUAAGUUGGUUAGCUGAUGGCGAAGCACCAUCGAAGACAAUUGCGUUUCUGUGCUUCCACAACUCCCACAACGUGAGAAGCAGUAUAGCGUGCAGAUCCUUCCUUGCCACAUUGGCAGCCGGUUGCUUGUCACAAACCCACGGCUUAAGAGCAUCCUGCGUAGAUGGUGCCCACUCUGGCUUUCCCAGAGCCGUACAAAUCGCCACCCAAAUCUCUCGAGCGAAGACGCAUGUUAGCAACACAUGAUCAAUGGUUUCCUCCUCUUGGUCACACAAAGGGCAUUUGUCCUGAUGCGGCAGCCCCCUCCUAGCUAGCCGGUCCGACAUCCAACAUCUGUUCCGCAGGGCCAGCCACGUGAAGAAUUUGCAUUGAGACGGGGCUCGCGAUUUCCACAUUAACUCCGCGGAGGGAAUGACCUCCCUUCCCCAGAACUUCGCUGCGUACGCAGAUCUGACAGAGAAUUGUCCAGUCGGCUCCCAAGACCAAACUAUCUUGUCCGGGACACUCUCCACCGGUUCCCACGCCUGAACCCGCUGCCAUAGCUGUAGGAACUGUUGCAAUGCCACCAUAGUUAUGUUGGGACCAAGGCAAGCUGCCCAGGACCCGUCCAUCCCCACCUGGCCAAGCAUACACGUCUGCCUGAUCCGGCGCAGCACCAAGUCAUAUACCGCCGGCGCAAGCUCCUGGAUCCUCAUCCCGUCAAGCCAUCGAUCUUCCCAAAAUAAGGUAUUCAGCCCGUUGCUUGCCCUGCACCUAGUAGCCGCUUGAAAGAUUUGCAUCGCCUCAGAUGGAACUUUGAUUUUGAAUUCACUCAAAGGUCUACUCCUAUCCGUCCUCUGCAACCAUGGCCAUUUGGCCUGCAUGGCCAUGUUCAUCCACCUCAAGUUAGGCACACCUAGCCCUCCUGCCCAUUUUGGGGUACAAACGGUCUCCCAAGCGACCGCACAGUUUCCUCCAUUAGCUUCCGCUCUCCGGCACCAAAGAAAACCUCGACAAAUCUUGUUCAUGGCCGUCAGGGUUUUGGCAGGAAGGUCCAAAGCCAUCAUCGCAUGGAUGGGCAUUGCACACAGUACCGAAAGCCUAACAAACCAUAGUAUCUCCAAAACUGUGGUAUUUUUGUAGUAUUUGUAAAAGAGGUCGGGACCUCUUUUUUUAAAACUGAGAAACGCUAGUUCAUUGGUCUCUCUGAGUCCAACAUCUUAUGACCAAUACUUGCUAGACCAUAGAUCUAUCUGGCCAGAGGUGUGCGUACACGUACGGAUGACUUACCGCCGGCCGUAAACAUGUGCACGUGGAGGCGAUUCUUAUAGGGGUGUGUUGCUUCUGAUCACUUCUAGACGCACGAGCUGCACCUUCAGUGCCUGUCACAACGCUACGUCUUUGAUGGAUCACAAGAGAUAACUGACUAUGUAUCCUAGAAUCUAAAGAGAACGUGCUCAUGCCCAGCAUACAUAGGGCGGCCGUAAGCAGGAGUUGAUUCUGCCGUGAGUGCAGCUCACUUAGGUUCGAUCGGCUAUAGGUAUCGUUAAGAUUAUCCAUGCAACGAGACAACACUCAUUCAAAAUAAGAGAAACUUAAUAAAACAGCCAUUUGCCAAACGCCUCCACAGUUUUACCAAUACUAAGAAAAAACUACGUUUUUAGAAACUAAAGUAUUUAUGGCCCACAUAUUAAAAUACUGAGGUUUUAAAAUACUAUGGUUUUGCAAAAACUGCGUUGCCAAACUAAUAUGCAGUUUCUGAUCUGAACGAGUUCAAAACUUGUGCAAGUCGCAGCUGAGAGAAUAGAAUGUUAUCAGUCUACAGGAAUGUUCGAGACUUGAAGUCUCUGUGUUUGUACUUCAUAGCAUGGUGAUGUCCCUUCUGCUAGUGUUUAUUACGAUGGUUCAUAUAGUAAGUUGAUGCAAGAUGCAAAAUUUAUUUAGUACACUGUACACAGAUAUAGGUUGCAUCUGUAUUUUUAUUAAUAAACUCCUGUUGAAAUUUUUUUGUAUUCAGAUUAUUAGCUAGCCCCACAUCUAUAUGUAAAUCAAUGUGUAAGUAAUAUUUGUGAGCAUGUAUCACAAUACCUAAUUUAGACACACCCAAAUUUAGCCAGGUGCGAAUUAUUUUCUUUUAACUACAGUAUCUACAUGGUUUUUUUAGGGGGUACCUCGUGUCUUACUUAGUAUGUUCUUUUGAGGUUUAUGUUACUCAAUCGACAUAUAACAUUUUGUUCAUAGGAAAACAAGGAUCGAAAGUGAUUGUUAGAUGUAGGCUAGUACUCUCCCUUUCUACAUACAGAGCUAGUAAUGUCAUGACCCUCAACCUUUCUUUGCCUCCUCCAUAACUUUCUGCUCUAUUGAUAUUCUCUAUCAUAAGUUACUAAUCUCAUUCAAUUGUUGUUCUUGAUUGCCAAGAUAAAUUCAAGAUGCAUGGAUGUUGAUUGCAAGGUCAAGAAUGGCUAUUUUACCAGAUAAUUAGAAUGUCAUUUUCAAGUGUAAUGUUUCAAUCACUAUAGUUGAUUGAAUGAUCAAGAUUUAGGCUUGUAGUAGAUGGUUUCACAUAUGUAAUAUUUGUAUCGUGUUCUUUGUAAUGCAAUACAUUCUUUUUAAUAUAUUAUGAGGAUUCCUACUUAUUGUAUUGUCGCUCCUAUCCAUCUGCAUUGGGCUAAUUUUGGCUCACAGUAUAUAAAAUAACAUUAAAU
rnacentral:lncRNA from 1 species